AAAUGGUUAGAACAAGUAAAACCAUAUAAUAUAGAACAUACACAAUUAACCUUAACAUAUAACCAAGAAAAGUUAUUCUUAAAAAGAGCCUUAACAUGAAAUGAAGAUAUAUGUAUUAAUGAAGAUAGUAGUAGAAGGAUAUUACAGUAGAUAUUAUACGCCUAUGAUAGAUACAGGAGCAGAAGCUAAUUUAUGUAGAUAUAAUUGCUUACCAGAAAGCAAAUGGGAUAAACUAAAAACACCAAUAAUAGUUAAAGGAUUUAAUAAUGAAGGAAGCUUAAUUACUUAUAAAGCUAGGAAUGUAAAAAUACAAGUAUGGGAUAAGAUAUUAACAAUAGAAGAAAUUUAUAAUUAUGAAUUAACAUCAAAAGAUAUACUUUUAGGAAUGUCAUUCUUAGAUAAAUUAUACCCACAUAUAAUAACUAGAAUGGAUUGGUGGUUUACAACGCCAUGUAAACUGAAAGUACGAGCAAAAAGAGUUACUAAUAAAAUAAGAAAGAAAACUGAUUGGAUAGAAGGAAGUAAAAAAAUUACACAAAAAUUAGAAAAUAUAAAAAAAUACUGAAGAUACAAUAGAAUUAGUCGUAUUUUCUAAAAAUAAAAAGGAAAUAACUAUAUUUUCAAUAAGUAAGAUAGAAAUAAUUAAGAAAAAAUUAGAACAAUUAUAUAGUGAAGAUCCAUUAAAAGGAUGGGAAAAACAUAAAACCACUAUAAAAAUUGAAUUAAUAGAUAAAAAUAGCAUAAUAACCCAGAAACCAUUAACAUAUAAUUUUGACGAUUUAAAAGAAUUUAAAAUGCAUAUAGAUGAAUUAUUAGAAAAACAAUAUAUACAAAAAAGUAAUAGUAAACAUAAUAGUCCAGCAUUUAUAGUAAAUAAACAUAGUGAACAAAAAAGAGGAAAAAGUAGAAUGGUUAUUGACUAUAGAAAUUUAAAUGCAAAAACUAUAACAUAUAAUUAUCCAAUACCAAAUAAGAUAUUAAAAAUAAGACAAAUCCAAGGAUAUAAUUAUUUUAGCAAAUUUGAUUGUAAAUCAGGAUUUUACCACCUAAAGCUAGAAGAAGAAUCUAAAGAAUUAACCGCAUUUACGGUACCACAAGGAUUUUAUGAAUGGAACGUGUUACCAUUUGGAUAUAAAAAUGCAC
rnacentral:lncRNA from 1 species